AGUGUGGAGCCAAACGACAACAAGAUUCUCAGAGGGCGGAGCCAGAGAGCAGUGAUUGGUCAGACCAUAGAUAAUAUAGAAGACAGCGCGCUAGCGUAUCUAGUCUGUGUAUAUCUAUGGUCGGCAGGUCUGGUAGCAUCUGUGGCUGCUGUUGAUCUUGUUUUUGGAGUAAAACACGAUGUUCAGAGGGAGAUGAUGCCACAUCUGGUCCAGCUGAUGGAAGGUCUUGAAGUUCUCUGACUGGCCUCGACUGAAGAUGGUCGUCUCACUGGAUUUAAGGUUCAGAUGCUCAGUAACAAACUCCACCAAUGAGCCAACAGGGAAGCUAUGCACAAGGAGGGACGUCUGCAGAGACUGAGAAAGAGUCUCACCACAUCCUGACAUGAGGAAAAAGACUUUAUUGAAGACUACAAUGAGAAAAACUAUCAGACAGCAGACGGCUGCAUUCAAGUCUGUAGCUGCUGAAUUCAUGGAUGAAUCAUCUGGCACUAGAGAGGAAGACCAUCAAACAUCCACGUCAGCUGAUGGAGGUCCAAGAGUCUCACCAAACAACCAACCUACAGAGUGAAGACCUCAAAUCUGAUUGGACGGCCUCCUAUUCAGCCACAUUUUAGGCUGUUAGAUUGUUCCAGAUAAGACAAGUACAAGAUUCUUCAGAGCUGUUCUACCACGAGCCUGACAGGAAGAACUCCAACAGCUACUGAAUGUUCCUGUGGUCCCCUCAAGGCUACAGGAGGAGUCCUACGAGGACGAGUCGGUCCACCUGAUGCAGGCCAGUCACUGCUGUUCAAAGCCAACACAGACUACGUGGACUUCUACUGGACCACAUGGAGGCCUUCAAACCGGACCAACAAGUUCACCGACUCCCCGACUCGUGGGUCUGAGGACGCUGCCGAGCCUCGGUCCAGCCGGCCUCCUGUCUGUGGAUGUUUGAGUGCUGAGAGGUUUGUGGAUGCAUGUGAACAUUCUGUGUUGAAACAGCAGCUUUUAACUCAGUAACGCCAGGAAAAACCAAGAGCUCCUUUAUUUGUGACUUCCACUAAAAAAUUGAUGAAAAUAAGUUUGCCAGGGUUCUGACUGAUAACGGAUUAUUAAAUAAUGAAAGUAAUCGUUUAAAUAUUCCUUUAAACAGUCCUUUUAGGUCUACAUUUCCUUUACACUGACUUCUUGGUACAUGUACAAGUAUUUUGGGUGGAAUAUACCAUUAAGCCUGAUGUUCAAGGGUUCUUCUGGGAAUAUACCAUUAAACCAACAUUUUAGGUAAAUGUUCCAGGAUGUUGGGUAGAAUAUACCAUCAGAUCAACCUUUUAGGUCUACAUUGGAAGAUUUUGGAGUAGAAUAUUACUCCAAACCAUCCUUUAGGUCUACAUUUAAGGUGGAAUACUCCUUUACACCAAGAUUUUUUGGUCUAAGAUUUUGGAUGGAAUACUCGGUUAAACCAACAUUUUAGGUGCAUGUCCAAGGAUUUUUGGUGGAAUGUUCCUUUAAGGUGGAUGUUUGAGGACCUUGUAGGUGGAAUACUUCCUGAAACCAACCUUUUAGGUCAACAUUCAAAGAUUUAAGGUGGAAUAUUCCUUUAAAUCAACCUAAAUUUCAUAUUUUGUUCAUUAUCAAGUGAGAAACCUCAAUCCAGACUCCUCAUAAUGACGUUUGAGAUUUAUGCUGCUGUUAUUUGUUUAGUCCAGACUAAAUGACAGAAAUCCACAACUGUAAUUUAUUUCAGGACUCGGUUAUUAAAUGUCAAAACAAUCCAUGUGACUCUAAAAACUCAACAGCUGUACAAACUCUAAGAUUAAACUCUCUACAAGGAUCCAAAAUAAGUUGGACUUCUACAUGAGAGCUUUAAUUAUUCUUCAUCUACUUCCUGAAAAGUUUGGUCAAUAAAAAAGACAAAAACUAAUAUUUUCAGCUGAACUAAAGACAGACUGUGAUUUUUCUGCUCACAUGUUGUGUUGUUGUAAACUUACUCUUUCAAAUAAAUAUCCUCCUAACCCCCUGGAAACCAGCGUUUGUCCUGUUUUUGUGUUGCUCCUCAGCGACCCUAGACAGCCAGGUCCUAAUGUUUUUUGAGCAACACACCAUAAUAUGAUGUUUUUACAAUGAUGGUUCUACUAUGGAACUAGUUUAUGUUCAGGUGUUCUUUGUGUGAAAACUGAUUUCAGGUAUCAGAAGGUGGUUUUCAACUUUCUUUGUUAACUUUCUGCCUCAACUUUAAACUAAAUUUCCUUCACUAACCCAGCCCUCUGGACUUCCAGUAAGCUGUGUUCCUAUUGGCUGUCCAGGUGGCUGCUUGGUGUUAUCAGGAACACCUGAGCAGCUCAGUGUCUUCCUGCUUUAUUUAGCUGCAGACAAACAUUUCCUCUGCUUCUAUUCACCACUGAACUGGGUUUGGCUCCAUUGCUUUAGUUUGUUCUUUAGGUGUUGGCUUGCAGCUUCCAGCAGUAAAAUAGACUUUAAUGUGUUUCUUGGUGUGUUUUAGGGCUUUGUACUGGAUAGUUGUCUUGGUAAAGGUGGUUCUUUAGCCACAGUUAGCACAUGGUACAAAUGUGUGCAGUGAUUAGUGGAUUUGCUGCAGCUGAGUUGUGUCUUUAUCUUGGCUGUAGUGAGUCUUCAGAGGUUUUUGGUCAGACACAUUCUGUAUUCUUGUUUGUGAACCAACGUUGGUUGUCCAGAAGGUAAGAGUUCCUGUCCUGAUUCUCUGUUCUCAGAGGUUCUCUGGUAGGCUGCAGGAGACUUUAGUGUUUGGGUUGUGCCUUAGUUUGGUUUUUGUACGGUUUCAUUUGGACGACUAUCUUGAGGCCCCUCCAUGUGGUUUAGUGAGGUUUUCUGGAACAGUUCUACAAAGCAACCUGCAGCAGAAGAGACUUUGAGAGUUUUUAGGAAGUUCUGGAGAGCAGACUUUAGAGCAGCAGAAACAUUUGUCAGCAGUUUGAGCAGGAGAAGGUGAGCUUCAGAGUAGAAAUGAGACAGAAACCUUCUUGACCCGUGUGGUGAGGUCCUGUACCAAGAGUUUGAGCAGGUUGUGAAGAGUCUGUAGUUCUUUGGUCUGAAAGCACAAGAAGAGUCGACUCAUUAAAGGAGAAAACAGGAGAUAUUGUUGGUUCUUCUGUCACUCUGCAGUUUCCUUAGACUGAAUAUCAAGUUUAUAUUUUAAAUGAUUUCCCAUGUGAGCCCAAGAAGACUUCAAUAAACUCCAUCCAUCCCCUGGACACAACAGAUUUUAUUACAAUGUUAAAUCUUUUUUUUUUUUUAAAAUAUGUUUUUGAGGUUUAAUCAUAGUUUUAGCAUAGUUUUUUCUCUUUGC